UGCGUAGGGUGCAAGCGUUGUCCGGAAUUAUUGGGCGUAAAGAGCUCGUAGGCGGUUUGUCGCGUCGAAUGUGAAAACCCGGGGCUCAACCCCGGGCCUGCAUUCGAUACGGGCAGACUAGAGUUCGGUAGGGGAGACUGGAAUUCCUGGUGUAGCGGUGAAAUGCGCAGAUAUCAGGAGGAACACCGGUGGCGAAGGCGGGUCUCUGGGCCGAUACUGACGCUGAGGAGCGAAAGCGUGGGGAGCGAACAGG
rnacentral:rRNA from 1 species